ensembl:lncRNA
GGCUUUUCUGACUGAGGCAACACAGCCUGGAGCCCAAAUCCCGAGGCUGUGCACCAAAGUCCUUCCCUGUUUGUCACUGGUGAGCAGAGUCUGACCUGAAAGUCUGGACCUGAUCUCUCAGUGAAGGCAAAACCGCUUGACCUCUGAUUUUGAACUGCAAUUGUAGCUAAUGCUGCUAUUGAUUUAAAAAUCUAGUUCAAUAUGUGAAAAAAAUACACUCUUCAAUCUCCUGGAACAUUCUGUCUCAGAGAGGACCAUGUCUACACGUCAAAGGAAAGACCAGAUCCUGGUGCUUUCCCACAAGAAGUUGCUCAAUGUGGCUACCAGGCAGGCCAAACAAAAGCCUCUGUCUGCAGACAGGAGGGCACCAACAAUGUGUCAAGCAACCUCAUCUGCAUCGUCACAAGCAUCUGCAGUGUGGAUAUCUGGUCAACAUGGUCUUUUGACAGUUGUGGAGCCCCUCUCACCAAUAAAGGUUAGCAACUUGUCGGGCUUUCAUGGCAUUUAUGGCAGUUAGAUUGUGCUUCUUAGACUAAGUCCAAAUCAGUGCUGCUAGGUAUGUAUGAUGCUUAUAUACUUUACCCUAAUUUAAAC